rnacentral:rRNA from 1 species
AACGAACGCUGGCGGCGUGCCUAACACAUGCAAGUCGAACGAGACCUUCGGGUCUAGUGGCGCACAGGUGCGUAACGCGUGGGAACCUGCCCUUAGGUUCGGAAUAACUCCCCGAAAGGGGUGCUAAUACCGGAUAAUGUCUUCGGACCAAAGAUUUAUCGCCUUUGGAUGGGCCCGCGUUGGAUUAGCUAGUUGGUAGGGUAAAAGCCUACCAAGGCGACGAUCCAUAGCUGGUCUGAGAGGAUGAUCAGCCACACUGGGACUGAGACACGGCCCAGACUCCUACGGGAGGCAGCAGUGGGGAAUAUUGGACAAUGGGCGAAAGCCUGAUCCGGCAAUGCCGCGUGAGUGAUGAAGGCCUUAGGGUUGUAAAGCUCUUUUACCCGGGAUGAUAAUGACAGUACCGGGAGAAUAAGCUCCGGCUAACUCCGUG